rnacentral:tRNA from 1 species
GCAAGUGUGGUGUAGUGGUUUGAGCAUUGAACUAUAACUUUGGAGACCAGGGUUCAAAUCCCAGCAUGGCCA